UACAGAGACUGCAAGCGUUAUUCGGAUUCACUGGGCGUAAAGGGUGCGCAGGCGGCCGUGUGUGUGAGGCGUGAAAGCCCGGGGCUUAACCCCGGAAUUGCACCUCAAACUACAUGGCUAGAGCAUUGGAGAGGGUAGCAGAAUUCAUGGUGUAGCAGUGAAAUGCGUAGAUAUCAUGAGGAAUACCAGAGGCGAAGGCGGCUACCUGGACAAUUGCUGACGCUCAUGCACGAAAGCGUGGGGAGCAAACAGG
rnacentral:rRNA from 1 species